CUGGGCUACGGAGACAUGUACCCGCAGACAUGGUCUGGCAUGUUGGUGGGAGCACUGUGCGCACUGGCAGGCGUGCUGACCAUUGCCAUGCCCGUGCCUGUCAUCGUGAACAAU
rnacentral:sRNA from 1 species